CACGUAGGGCGCGAGCGUUGUCCGGAAUUAUUGGGCGUAAAGAGCUCGUAGGCGGCCUGUUGCGUCCGCUGUGAAAGCCCGGGGCUUAACCCCGGGUCGGCAGUGGAUACGGACAGGCUAGAGUUCGGUAGGGGAGACUGGAAUUCCUGGUGUAGCGGUGAAAUGCGCAGAUAUCAGGAGGAACACCGGUGGCGAAGGCGGGUCUCUGGGACGUUACUGACACUGAGGCGCGAAAGCGUGGGGAGCGAACAGG
rnacentral:rRNA from 1 species